AGCGAACGCUGGCGGCAGGCCUAAUACAUGCAAGUCGAGCGGCCGUAGCAAUACGGCAGCGGCAGACGGGAGAGUAACACGUGGGAACGUACCUUUCGGUUCGGAACAACCCAGGGAAACUUGGGCUAAUACCGGAUACGUCCGUAAGGAGGAAGAUUUAUCGCCGAAAGAUCGGCCCGCGUCUGAUUAGCUUGUUGGUGAGGUAACGGCUCACCAAGGCGACGAUCAGUAGCUGGUCUGAGAGGAUGAUCAGCCUCACUGGGACUGAGACACGGCCCAGACUCCUACGGGAGGCAGCAGUAGGGAAUAUUGGACAAUGGGCGCAAGCUUGAUCCAGCCAUGCCGCGUGAGUGAUGAAGGCCCUAGGGUUGUAAAGCUCUUUCGGCGGGGAAGAUAAUGACGGUACCCGCAGAAGAAGCCCCGGCUAACUUCGUGCCAGCAGCCGCAGUAA
rnacentral:rRNA from 1 species